rnacentral:rRNA from 1 species
GAUGAACGCUGGCGGCGUGCCUAAUACAUGCAAGUCGAGCGAACAGACGAGGAGCUUGCUCCUCUGACGUUAGCGGCGGACGGGUGAGUAACACGUGGAUAACCUACCUAUAAGACUGGGAUAAAUUCGGGAAACCGGAGCUAAUACCGGAUAAUAUAUUGAACCGCAUGGUUCAAUAGUGAAAGACGGUUUUGCUGUCACUUAUAGAUGGAUCCGCGCCGCAUUAGCUAGUUGGUAAGGUAACGGCUUACCAAGGCAACGAUGCGUAGCCGACCUGAGAGGGUGAUCGGCCACACUGGAACUGAGACACGGUCCAGACUCCUACGGGAGGCAGCAGUAGGGAAUCUUCCGCAAUGGGCGAAAGCCUGACGGAGCAACGCCGCGUGAGUGAUGAAGGUCUUCGGAUCGUAAAACGCUGUUAUUAGGGAAGAACAAAUGUGUAAGUAACUAUGCACGUCUUGACGGUACCUAAUCAGAAAGCCACGGCUAACUACGUG